rnacentral:rRNA from 1 species
CCUACGGGUGGCAGCAGUAGGGAAUAUUGCUCAAUGGGGGAAACCCUGAAGCAGCAACGCCGCGUGGAGGAUGAAGGUUUUCGGAUUGUAAACUCCUUUUGUUAGAGAAGAUAAUGACGGUAUCUAACGAAUAAGCACCGGCGAACUCCGUGCCAGCAGCCCCGGUAAUACGGAGGGUGCAAGCGUUACUCGGAAUCACUGGGCGUAAAGAGCGCGUAGGCGGGAUAGCAAGUCAGAUGUGAAAUCCUAUGGCUUAACCAUAGAACUGCAUUUGAAACUGUUAGUCUAGAGUAUGGGAGAGGUAGGUGGAAUUCUUGGUGUAGCGGUAAAAUGCGUAGAGAUCAAGAGGAAUACUCAUUGCGAAGGCGGCCUGCUAGAACAUAACUGACGCUGAUGCGCGAAAGCGUGGGGAGCAAACAGGAUUAGAUACCCGGGUAGUC